GACUUCACCUCACCUUUCCUAGCUUUUUCCCUGUCCCCAGCCUGCUGCUUCUCCUACCUUACUGGUUUCUUCCAGGUGCUGCAUUUGAACAACCAACUUACACCCAAAUCCUUGGCUCAAGGUCCACUUCUGGAAGAACCCAACCAAAGACAGCACAUGUUUCUAUUUCACUGCUGUACAUAAAAAUGGCAAAUUCCAGAAAUUGAAAAUGUUAGAUUUUUUUUUUAGCAUACUUACUUGGGCUCAUAGAAACCAUGCUUUGAAUUUCUCUAGCUGAGGUGUCUUGGUUUGUAUGAGCUGUCCCUGCUAAUGGGCAACCCAAGCUUCUCAGCCUCCACUUCAGUCCCAUUUGCUGUGAAGGAGCAUUGCUUUUCUGUUGGGUGCCAUGUUGCCCCCUCUAGGAACUCCCUUUCAGACUCUUCCAUGAAUGGCUGUUGUUUUUAAACAACAUUUAAACGUCCCUCAUAACAGAAUUCAACUGCAGUUGCCCUUAGGAGAGCACACCUUUUCCAAGUGGCUGCCAAAUGAAGGUGUGGGUCAUUUGUGAAGCUAAAAGUCAAAGAAAGCAGCGACAGGACUAGUCAGUGGGGAUUGGGAAGCCCAGGAGCAAGCACAGGCCACUCUUUCAAAGGGCUGGACAGCGAGAGUAGGAGAGGCAGGGUGACAGCUGACGGCGACAACAGGGACAAAGGAAAGGUUUUUAUUUCUUCACAGGAAGAACAACCUCAGCAUUUUUAAGACAGAAGAACUGAGACCAGUGGAGAGAUCAUGGACGGAUGAGAAAAAGAAGCACAUCACAUAUCCUUCCCAUUUGGAGGAAAGUGCCCACUGGAACCACUCUCAGGCUUCCCCAGCUCGGUCCGGAGAAUGCACGUCCUCAGCAUCACUGUGUGGCUCACAGAGACGACGUCUCAGGCCUGAAUGGCAGGACUCAGGCGUUGCCUAUUCUUUCCUUGUA